ACACAAACGACAACCGAAAAAAAUUGACGGAGAAGGAAGAAGGAAGGAAAAACAGUUUUCGCUCACCAUUCACCAUUCACUAUUCCCAUUCACAAUUUUUUUUUUAUAAUUUCUAUUUUUAUUUCUU
rnacentral:ribozyme from 1 species